GAUGAACGCUGGCGGCGUGCCUAAUACAUGCAAGUCGAGCGACCAGACGAGGAGCUUGCUCUUCUGCCGUUAGCGGCUGACGGGUGAGUAACACGUGGAUAACCUACCUCUAUUUCUGGGAUAAUUUCGGGAAACCGGAGCUACUACCGCAUAAUAUAUUGAACCGCUUGGUUCAAUAGUUCAAGACGGUUUUGCUGUCUCUUUUAGAUGGAUCCGCGUCGGAUUAGCUAGUUGGUAAGGUAACGGCCAACCAAGGAAACGAUGCGUAGCUGGCCUGAGAGGGUGAUCAGCCAAACUGGAAAUGAGAAACGGUCCAGACUCCUAAGGGAGGCAGCAGUGGGGAAUAUUGGACAAUGGGCGAAAGCCUGAACGAGCAAUACCGCGUGGGUGAAGAAGGGCUUCGGGUUGUAAAACCCUUUUGUUGGGGAAGAAAAAAAGGAGGAUAAAACAAGGCUGUUCUGACGGUACCUAAAGAAAAAGCCACGGCUAACUACGUG
rnacentral:rRNA from 1 species